rnacentral:rRNA from 1 species
CUUCGGGGUGGAUUAGUGGCGAACGGGUGAGUAACACGUGGGCAAUCUGCCCUUCACUCUGGGACAAGCCCUGGAAACGGGGUCUAAUACCGGAUAACACUCCUGCCUGCAUGGGCGGGGGUUAAAAGCUCCGGCGGUGAAGGAUGAGCCCGCGGCCUAUCAGCUUGUUGGUGGGGUAAUGGCCUACCAAGGCGACGACGGGUAGCCGGCCUGAGAGGGCGACCGGCCACACUGGGACUGAGACACGGCCCAGACUCCUACGGGAGGCAGCAGUGGGGAAUAUUGCACAAUGGGCGAAAGCCUGAUGCAGCGACGCCGCGUGAGGGAUGACGGCCUUCGGGUUGUAAACCUCUUUCAGCAGGGAAGAAGCGAAAGUGACGGUACCUGCAGAAGAAGCGCCGGCUAACUACGUGCCAGCAGCCGCGGUAAUACGUAGGGCGCAAGCGUUGUCCGGAAUUAUUGGGCGUAAAGAGCUCGUAGGCGGCUUGUCGCGUCGGAUGUGAAAGCCCGGGGCUUAACCCCGGGUCUGCAUUCGAUACGGGCAGGCUAGAGUGUGGUAGGGGAGAUCGGAAUUCCUGGUGUAGCGGUGAAAUGCGCAGAUAUCAGGAGGAACACCGGUGGCGAAGGCGGAUCUCUGGGCCAUUACUGACGCUGAGGAGCGAAAGCGUGGGGAGCGAACAGGAUUAGAUACCCUGGUAGUCCACGCCGUAAACGUUGGGAACUAGGUGUUGGCGACAUUCCACGUCGUCGGUGCCGCAGCUAACGC